CCCCCCUCCUAGUGCCGUAUGAGCAUGGGAUGGUGUGCCUGAAUCAGACAAGAAAACCAGUGACUAAAUUGACACGUGAAAUGCAUAAGACAUAAUUAUCUUAUUUUUUAAUUUUUUUUUUGAAGUAACGUCUGUAAUUUAUAAGACAAGAUAUUCAUUCUGAACUUUCUAAAAUUUUUGUUUUCGAUGUCAGAACUUUUGCACUGAGAUUACUUUUUGAUUACGUCAUUAGCUGUUGUAGUUCAAGAUAAGACAACUUUCUACCAACUUGUCCCUUUUUUUUAACUAUUAAUUUUCUUUUUCAGAUGUACAUGUGUGAUUAUAUGAAUUCAUUUCUUGUUAUGACAAAUGUUGUUGUUUUUUUUUACUCAAAACGAAAGA